UCCUACGGGUGGCAGCAGUGGGGAAUAUUGGACAAUGGGCGAAAGCCUGAUCCAGCCAUGCCGCGUGAGUGAUGAAGGCCUUAGGGUUGUAAAGCUCUUUCAGUGGGGAAGAUAAUGACGGUACCCACAGAAGAAGCCCCGGCUAACUUCGUGCCAGCAGCCGCGGUAAUACGAAGGGGGCUAGCGUUGUUCGGAUUUACUGGGCGUAAAGCGCACGUAGGCGGAUCGUUAAGUCGAGGGUGAAAUCCUGGAGCUCAACUCCAGAACUGCCUUCGAUACUGGCGAUCUCGAGUCCGGAAGAGGUGAGUGGAACUCCUAGUGUAGAGGUGGAAUUCGUAGAUAUUAGGAAGAACACCAGUGGCGAAGGCGGCUCACUGGUCCGGUACUGACGCUGAGGUGCGAAAGCGUGGGGAGCAAACAGGAUUAGAUACCCCUGUAGUCG
rnacentral:rRNA from 1 species